GAAUGGCUGCAACGUUUGUCACCCUAUUGAUCAUCAGGAUUCAUUUGGUUGAUUUCGCUGGAUAGUAUCUUUUCCCCC
rnacentral:sRNA from 1 species